rnacentral:lncRNA from 1 species
UAGGCAUAAAUCCAUCAAUCGAAUGGGUGUAUGGAAUCCCGUGUAGCUAGCCUGCUUAUCAGGAUAAAGAAAACAAGAUAUUAAGAAAGUCUGCCCCCAAGAGAUGAACUCCUACGGCCCUGUUCUCCUAGCUGCAACCGGUAGUCUGUUAGCUGGACUUCCUUCAUGCGCUUGUAGCUCUAUAAGGGAGGAUGCUCCCCCGUCUCUAGUAGGUAGGCUGUUCCUAUUAGCUUCUUGUUCUUGUCUGUAGGAGUAUGGAGCCUAAUGCCUUUCAUAUCCUGCAAGCUCCUAAGGAAGUUAGCUCUUGCCCUAUGGGCGUUCCUCGCUAGCUACCUAAUAGAAAGUCUAUCCUGAGGUAAGUAGCUCCCUGAAUCUGGAUGCUAGACGACGAGCUGAGUAGGAUAAAGAAUCUGUCUUCUUGUUAGGACUAGCAUUCCCUUCCUUCCCCGACCUGUUGAUCCUCGUACCUAGCUUCUUGUUAGGCAGUCCAGAGAAUCUCUUCCCUGCUCUGUCUGCUCGGGUUUCCCUGGGCUAGUUACGUUGGGGUGUAGGCGAGAGAAAAAGAACCUCCCUCUUUCUCGACCCCUCCU